rnacentral:rRNA from 1 species
GUGUCAGCCGCCGCGGUAAUACGGAGGGGGCUAGCGUUAUUCGGAAUUAUUGGGCGUAAAGGGCGUGUAGGCGGCUUCGUGUGUCCCAUGUGAAAGCCCUCGGCUCAACCGGGGAACUGCAUGGGAAACUGCGGAGCUUGAGUCCGGGAGAGGUGAGUGGAAUUCCCAGUGUAGCGGUGAAAUGCGUAGAUAUUGGGAGGAACACCGGUGGCGAAGGCGGCUCACUGGACCGGUACUGACGCUGAGACGCGAAAGCCAGGGGAGCAAACGGGAUUAGAAACCCCCGUAGUCC